rnacentral:misc_RNA from 1 species
GAUGAAGAACGCAGCGAAAUGCGAUACUUGGUGUGAAUUGCAGAAUCCCGUGAACCAUCGAGUCUUUGAACGCAAGUUGCGCCCGAAGCCAUUAGGCCGAGGGCACGCCUGCCUGGGCGUCACACGUCGUUGCCCCCCCAUCUACUCCUUCGGGAUUGCGGGGGGCGGAUGAUGGCCUCCCGUGCGCCUCGUCGCGCGGUUGGCCUAAAUGCCAAGUCCUCGGCGACGCACGCCACGACAAUCGGUGGUUGCGAAACCUCGGUUGCCUGUCGUGUGCGGUCGUCGCGCAUCGAGGGCUCGAAAAAAUUGCCGGGCUUCGGCUCGACUUUCAACGCAACCCCAGGUCAGGCGGGGUUACCCGCUGAAUUUAAGCAUAUCAAUAAGCGGAGGA